rnacentral:ncRNA from 1 species
AAGUUGUAUGAAAGGGGAGGUUAGCAUUCCCUUUGACAAGGAUGGAGGAGGCCCUUGGGCCUGACAACACACAAUACAGUUAAGAGGCAUUGCCACCUACUUUAUGGCUUUUUUUUUUUUUUUUUU